UAAAAUUUUUUGUUUAUUUUUACAGGGCGAUUGAAUCCAUGCCACAAUUAAUACUUCAUCACUACAGCAAAUUAAGCCACUCCUCACAGAAGGACAUGUUUAUGCAAUCAAGGAUUUUGUUAUCACCAACAACACCAUGAAAUACAAAACCACAGAGUCACAAUAUAAGCUUUUAUUGUUCAAGCACACAAGAGUUGUAGAACUCGAUGAUGAUACAUUCCCAAAUCACACAUUCAACAUCAAUAAUUUUGGAGAAAUUUUUUCUAUUUCUGACGUCCAGAAUGUGGUCAUGUUUGGUAAAAACUUUUCAGCCAUUUUAUUUUAAUUAUUAUCAUCUUAUGAAUUUUAAUUUCAAAUUUAUAUUGUAGAUAUCAUGGGAAUCGUAGUUUCAAGUUAUCAGCCAAUAAUCAAAUAUUUCAAUGGACAGCAAACAAAGCUUAUGGAUAUCAUCAUAGAAGAUUUGGAGUAAUAUUUAUUAUACUUUCAAUUAUGUUAAUUGCAUAAAUAAAAUACCUCAAUAUAUGUGAAUGACUAACCUAAAUUGUAUUUAAUUGCAGGGGAAAGACUAUGACAUGCACACUUUGGGAACAGUAUGCAGAUAAAAUGCAUGAAUAUCUGUGCACAGAACCAAAAAUGCCAAUAUGUUUCAUAGUACAAUUCUGUCGCCCAUCUAUAUUCAGAGGUAGAAAGAAUAAAAAAAAUUAUUAUCAUUAUCUAUUAUCUAUUUGUGCUAAUACAUUUUGGUUUAUGAAACAGGUGAAGUUUGUAUAUCAAGUUCAUAUCAUGUGUCAAACAUACUUUUUGAUGAAAACAUUGUUGAAAUCAAUAAGAUGAAGGACAAGUAAGUAUUUUAAAAAAUAAAAAUUAAUUGCAUCGGCAUACAUUAUUGUUCACAUUAUUUCCAAUUGUAGUUUUAUCAAACUUCACAAGGAAAGAUCAAUCAAUCUCAAGUUAUUGGCAGCACCAACAAUUAGAACAAUUGAAGAUGAAAUAAAUAAAGGCAGUGCAAAAUUCAUGGCUAUUUCAGAGUUAACUGGUCAACAGGUUUAAUAUUACAUAAUUUUAUAUUUUUUAAUAUUAAAUUUUCGAAACAUUUAAAUAAUAUAUUUUCGUGUUUUUUAAGAGGGGAAUGUACUGGAUAUAUGGCACAAUAUGUUCUGUAUCAACGCUUCGAGCUUGGGCUUACUUAGCAUGCAACAUAUGCCUAAAAAAACUGAAAGCAAAUGAUGAUAAAUUUUUUUGUGACAACUGUGCAAGCUUUGAUGUUUCAGGAAAAAUGAGGUAUAGACUAAGAGUAUAUGUUGCUGAUAAUUCUGGAGGUGUUUCUUUAAGCUUAUGGGAUAGAGAGUGCUUACAACUAAUUGGGAAACUUGCUGAAGAAAUAAUAUAUGUAAGUGAAUGCAAAAUAAAAUUAUAAAUAAAAUUAUGGAGAUAAUUCUAAAGUUAUUAAUUUAAAUUAAAAAAUUUGCAGGAUCCUAAUAGCAAUGAGUUGCCAAUUGAGAUAGAUGCUAUCACCAACAAAAAUGCUCUAUUUAAAAUUAAAGUGGAAGAAUCAACGAUUUUUGAUGGAGCAUAUGUUGUGACAAAAAUCAACUGCGACCCAAAUAUUUUAAAUAAAUAUUGUGGGUCAAUAGUUGAAAGUGAGACCAAGGAAACUCAAUUGAAAGACAAAGAAAUUGAAAACAUUAAGGUUCAAAAUGAUGGUGGGAGUAGCAGCUUUACCAAUGUACAUGAAUCAGUGAACAUCAAUGACAAUGAGGCAACAAAUAGACAACUCGAAGAAGAAACAUCAACUGACCCAAAACUCAUGAAUAAAAUAGGGAAGAGAGUUGUGAUCAAGAAGGAGAAGCCCUAAAGUAGCAUUUAUUUUUAUGAUGUUUUAGUAAUUAGUACUUUACGAUUUGCACUUUCAAAUUUCGUACUUUAGAAUUGUAAUUUUAAAUUUCGUUUUUAGGAUUUCAGUUUCAAAUUUAGUUGUUUAGGAUUUCAACUUUCAAAUGUCAACUUAUUAAUGUUAGUAUUUCAUAUUUCAGAAUCAUUUUAUUA